AUUAGCCAGUAGUGGUCUGCAAUGUGGUGGGUCUGUUUUAUAACUUCUGUUAGUUGGGUCUCUCGGCACCUUCACAGCUUCACCUCUCAUAUUUGUUGGAAACCGCAAAAGAAGAAGCUUAAACACAAUUUCUCAAUCAACCAUCUCUUUCAACAAUUCGUAUACGGCAGUUCUCAUCUCUCUCUCUUGUUUUUUUUUUUCUCUUUGGAACAUUUGGGAUCUCAUCUUUUACUUCAAUCUAGGGUUUCAUAAUUUAUUCUCCUCUAAUAAUCUUUUCAAUCUCGAACUUUUUAUUUCCCAAAAUUUUCUUCUUCAUCUCUAUCACCAGCUCUAUUGUUCCCGAAAUUAGACUCACGGUUAAUUAAGAACCUGAAAAGGAUCUUUGUGAUGGCAUCGGUACAAGUAAUUGCUUCAGGAAUUGGCACUAGAAGCUUAUUGCCUUCAUUUGAUGGACUUAGUGGAUCCAGUGAGAUUGACAGGUUCCAGGACUUAAGGAACGAACUAAAGGUUCGCCGCUAUCAGCAACGGAGGCACAUUGAUACAAGCGGGGUCUUUAGACCCAACUUGUUUUUAAGUUUUAGUGUUAAUAUAUCCAUUUUGGGGGGAAGUUAGGUAGUCAGGGAUUAAAAAUAUUGCUUCUGUCGAUUUUGACCCCAGGAGUAACAGAAUUUCCCUCCGUCACUGCAGCCGUGAUGGAAUAUGGAAGGUUUGACUUAUCAAAAUUAAAAUUAGAAUUCUCACAAACAAAAAUAACAAACCAUUUGUUAUGUUAAAAGUCUGUAGUUUACUGCAUAAUAUCUCGGUGUGUUUGUGUAUUAAGGAUUCGGUUUACUCAGACGUAGACACUGAUUUUGUUGUGUUCCUUAUGUAUUGCUUUUAACAAAGAAAAUGUGGUAAUACAUGACCCAAAAGUGUUCUCUUCUUGCAUAUGAGUUGAAACAGAACUUCUUUAUGCGUUUGCAGAUGCGUACAGGAUAAACAGUUGAUGAAUGUGCAAUUUGUUGGUGUAUCUAGUUAUCUCUUUCCUUUUUAUUGAUC